rnacentral:lncRNA from 1 species
CUCAGCUGGACUGGCCCUCACACGGAAACUGUCCCGAAGAACACAGUCAGAUAAAUGGGAGGGGCUGAGCCUCAGAACCCCGGCGCUGCUGGAUUCCAACCCAGAGGCCGGCAGCUCAAGCCAGUGCUUCAGGUGAGUCCCGAGGCCUGAGAAAGAUGAGAUCUUUUGCAAAAGAGAAGGGGAGCAGCACAGAACAGUGGGGAGAAGCAGGAAGUGGCGUGUGUAUGGACCAGC